AUUGAACGCUGGCGGCAUGCCUAACACAUGCAAGUCGAACGAGUGGCGGACGGGUGAGCAAUGCUUUGGCAUCUAGCUUAUGGAGGCGUAUAACUACGGGAAACUGUAGCUACUACCGCGUACCAUAGGAUGAGCCCAAGUGGGAUGAGGUAGUUGGUGAGGUAAAGGCUCACCAAGCCGACGAUCUCUAGCUGGUCUGAGAGGAUGACCGGCCACACUGGGACUGAGACACGGCCCAGACUCCUACGGGAGGCAGCAGUGGGGAAUAUUGCGCAAUGGGGGCAACCUGACGCAGCCAUGCCGCGUGAGUGAAGAAGGCCUUCGGGUUGUAAAGUUCUUUCGGUAGCGAGGCGUUAACUACAGAAGAAGCACCGGCUAACUCCGUGCCAGCCGCCGCGGUAAUUC
rnacentral:rRNA from 1 species